CCUACGGGAGGCAGCAGUGAGGAAUAUUGGUCAAUGGCCGAGAGGCUGAACCAGCCAAGUCGCGUGAGGGAAUAAUGUCCUAUGGAUUGUAAACCUCUUUUGCCAGGGAGCAAAGUCACCCACGUGUGGGUGUUGGAGAGUACCUGAAAAAAAAGCCUCGGCUAACCCCGGGCCAGCAGCCGCGGUAAUACGGAGGAUGCGAGCGUUAUCCGGAUUUAUUGGGUUUAAAGGGUGCGUAGGCGGGUUAUCAAGUCAGCGGUAAAAUCGUGGAGCUCAACCCCCUCCAGCCGUUGAAACUGAGGGUCUUGAGUGGGCGAGAAGUAUGCGGAAUGCGUGGUGUAGCGGUGAAAUGCAUAGAUAUCACGCAGAACUCCGAUUGCGAAGGCAGCAUACCGGCGCCCGACUGACGCUGAAGCACGAAAGCGUGGGUAUCGAACAGGAUUAGAUACCCCGGUAGUC
rnacentral:rRNA from 1 species